CACCAGUUACUAAGACCCAGAGGGGUCUGCACUUUGGGAGAUGGAAGAGCGCCAUCUCCAUGAGAAACACCAACUUGCUAAAAGACAACUCAAGGAUAUUUUCUUCCUUCAGAGACAUCAGAUGCUUUUGAGACACGAAAAGGAAUUGGAACAAGUUAAACGAGUCAACCAGCAGAAGGAAGAAGAACUGAUUAAGAGGCAGCAGAUUGAAAAGAGGCAGUUACCAAAGCGCAUCCGUCAGGAGAUGAAAGCCCUGA